rnacentral:rRNA from 1 species
AGUGUACGCUGGCGGUAGGCCUAACACAUGCGAGUCGAACGGCAGCACAGUAAGAGCUUGCUCUUACGGGUGGCGAGUGGCGGACGGGUGAGGAAUACAUCGGAAUCUACUUUUUCGUGGGGGAUAACGUAGGGAAACUUACGCUAAUACCGCAUACGACCUACGGGUGAAAGCAGGGGAUCUUCGGACCUUGCGCGAUUGAAUGAGCCGAUGUCGGAUUAGCUAGUUGGCGGGGUAAAGGCCCACCAAGGCGACGAUCCGUAGCUGGUCUGAGAGGAUGAUCAGCCACACUGGAACUGAGACACGGUCCAGACUCCUACGGGAGGGAGCAGUGGGGAAUAUUGGACAAUGGGCGCAAGCCUGAUCCAGCCAUACCGCGUGGGUGAAGAAGGCCUUCGGGUUGUAAAGCCCUUUUGUUGGGAAAGAAAAGCAGCAGGUUAAUACCCCGCUGUUCUGACGGUACCCAAAGAAUAAGCACCGGCUAACUUCGUG